rnacentral:rRNA from 1 species
UACGGGAGGCAGCAGUGGGGAAUAUUGCACAAUGGGGGAAACCCUGAUGCAGCCAUGCCGCGUGUGUGAAGAAGGCCUUCGGGUUGUAAAGCACUUUCAGUAGGGAGGAAGGUAGUGUAGUUAACACCUGCACUAUUUGACGUUACCUACAGAAGAAGCACCGGCUAACUCCGUGCCAGCAGCCGCGGUAAUACGGAGGGUGCGAGCGUUAAUCGGAAUUACUGGGCGUAAAGCGCAUGCAGGCGGCCUGUUAAGUCAGAUGUGAAAGCCCGGGGCUCAACCUCGGAAUUGCAUUUGAAACUGGCAGACUAGAGUACUGUAGAGGGGGUAGAAUUUCAGGUGUAGCGGUGAAAUGCGUAGAGAUCUGAAGGAAUACCGGUGGCGAAGGCGGCCCCCUGGACAGAUACUGACACUCAGAUGCGAAAGCGUGGGGAGCAAACAGGAUUAGAUACCCUGGUAG